GUUACGACGUUAAUUUUUACCAGUGGAGAACUCGUUUUUCCGAUUAUUCCGACACGACGCGAAUGCACUUUUAAAGCACAGGUGUUACUAAUAACAUUAAAGAUUGCUCCAGACUCUACCAGUACUUUACUAAACAGUGACGGCGUGAACCGAAGCAACUAAAUGAGCAGCUAACAAACGGCUAACUCCCACUUCACUGCAUGAGGAUCAGUAGAAAUGAGUGGAUAUUAUCUGAUGACUGCAGCCACAUGGACAAAGAGAGGUUUGAGAUCCAGCUGCCCCGAUUCUGGAAAUUUCAGAGGUCCAGGCGGAAGGCGCCAAAGUAGCUGGAGGAAUCAUCGGCGUUAACCAUGGUGGGGGAAGAGACGGAGACGAAGAGUUC